CGCGGUGUGGAGCAGUUGGUAGCUCGCCUGGCUCAUAACCAGGAGGUCGCCGGUUCGAGUCCGGCCGCCGCAACCA
rnacentral:tRNA from 1 species